rnacentral:rRNA from 1 species
UACAGAGGGGGCAAGCGUUGUUCGGAAUUACUGGGCGUAAAGGGCUCGUAGGUGGCCAACUAAGUCAGACGUGAAAUCCCUCGGCUUAACCGGGGAACUGCGUCUGAUACUGGAUGGCUUGAGUUCGGGAGAGGGAUGCGGAAUUCCAGGUGUAGCGGUGAAAUGCGUAGAUAUCAGGAGGAACACCGAUGGCGAAGGCAGGUCUCUGGGCCAUAACUGACGCUGAGAAGCGAAAGCAUGGGGAGCGAACAGG